GUUGUUGGGUAGGGGAGCGUUCUGUAAGCCGUUGAAGGUGUGCUGUGAGGCAUGCUGGAGGUAUCAGAAGUGCGAAUGCUGACAUAAGUAACGAUAAAGCGGGUGAAAAGCCCGCUCGCCGGAAGACCAAGGGUUCCUGUCCAACGUUAAUCGGGGCAGGGUGAGUCGACCCCUAAGGCGAGGCCGAAAGGCGUAGUCGAUGGGAAACAGGUUAAUAUUCCUGUACUUGGUGUUACUGCGAAGGGGGGACGGAGAAGGCUAUGUUAGCCGGGCGACGGUUGUCCCGGUUUAAGCAUGUAGGCGGAACGAUUAGGUAAAUCCGGUCGUUUAUUAACGCUGAGGUGUGAUGACGAGGCACUACGGUGCUGAAGUAACAAAUGCCCUGCUUCCAGGAAAAGCCUCUAAGCAUCAGGUAACAUCAAAUCGUACCCCAAACCGACACAGGUGGUCAGGUAGAGAAUACCAAGGCGCUUGAGAGAACUCGGGUGAAGGAACUAGGCAAAAUGGUGCCGUAACUUCGGGAGAAGGCACGCUGAUAUGUAGGUGAAGCCCCUGCGGGUGGAGCUGAAAUCAGUCGAAGAUACCAGCUGGCUGCAACUGUUUAUUAAAAACACAGCACUGUGCAAACACGAAAGUGGACGUAUACGGUGUGACGCCUGCCCGGUGCCGGAAGGUUAAUUGAUGGGGUUAGCGGCAACGCGAAGCUCUUGAUCGAAGCCCCGGUAAACGGCGGCCGUAACUAUAACGGUCCUAAGGUAGCGAAAUUCCUUGUCGGGUAAGUUCCGACCUGCACGAAUGGCGUAAUGAUGGCCAGGCUGUCUCCACCCGAGACUCAGUGAAAUUGAACUCGCUGUGAAGAUGCAGUGUACCCGCGGCAAGACGGAAAGACCCCGUGAACCUUUACUAUAGCUUGACACUGAACACUGGUCCUUGAUGUGUAGGAUAGGUGGGAGGCUUUGAAGUGUGGACGCCAGUCUGCAUGGAGCCGUCCUUGAAAUACCACCCUUUAAUGGCUGGUGUUCUAACGUAGACCCGUAAUCCGGGUUGCGGACAGUGUCUGGUGGGUAGUUUGACUGGGGCGGUCUCCUCCCAAAGAGUAACGGAGGAGCACGAAGGUUAGCUAAUCCUGGUCGGACAUCAGGAGGUUAGUGCAAUGGCAUAAGCUAGCUUGACUGCGAGAGUGACGGCUCGAGCAGGUGCGAAAGCAGGUCAUAGUGAUCCGGUGGUUCUGAAUGGAAGGGCCAUCGCUCAACGGAUAAAAGGUACUCCGGGGAUAACAGGCUGAUACCGCCCAAGAGUUCAUAUCGACGGCGGUGUUUGGCACCUCGAUGUCGGCUCAUCACAUCCUGGGGCUGAAGUAGGUCCCAAGGGUAUGGCUGUUCGCCAUUUAAAGUGGUACGCGAGCUGGGUUUAGAACGUCGUGAGACAGUUCGGUCCCUAUCUGCCGUGGGCGCUGGAGAAUUGAGGGGGGCUGCUCCUAGUACGAGAGGACCGGAGUGGACGCAUCACUGGUGUUCGGGUUGUCAUGCCAAUGGCACUGCCCGGUAGCUAAAUGCGGAAAAGAUAAGUGCUGAAAGCAUCUAAGCACGAAACUUGCCCCGAGAUGAGUUCUCCCUGAGACUUUAAGUCUCCUGAAGGAACGUUGAAGACGACGACGUUGAUAGGUCGGGUGUGUAAGCGCAGCGAUGCGUUGAGCUAACCGAUACUAAUGAACCGUGAGGCUUAACCUU
rnacentral:rRNA from 1 species